rnacentral:rRNA from 1 species
CCCUUAGAUGUUCUGGGCUGCACGCGCGCUACACUGAAGCGUUCAACGAGUAUUCACCUUGCCCGGGAGGGUUGGGUAAUCUUUUGAAAACGCUUCGUGAUGGGGAUAGAUUAUUGCAAUUAUCCUUCAUGAACGAGGAAUUCCCAGUAAGUGCAAGUCAUAAGCUUGCGCUGACUACGUCCCUGCCCUUUGUACACACCGCCCGUCGCUACUACCGAUUGAAUGAUUUAGUGAGGACUUCGGACUGGGACCGAUGCGGCUUUCGGGCUGCGUCGGUAUUCUGGAAAGAUGUCCAAACUGUAUCAUUUAGAGGAAGUAAAAGUCGUAACA